AGAGUUUGAUUCUGGCUCAGAACGAACGCUGGCGGCGUGGAUAAGACAUGCAAGUCGAACGAGAGAAUUGCUAGCUUGCUAAUAAUUCUCUAGUGGCGCACGGGUGAGUAACACGUGAGUAACCUGCCCCCGAGAGCGGGAUAGCCCUGGGAAACUGGGAUUAAUACCGCAUAGUAUCGAAAGAUUAAAGCAGCAAUGCGCUUGGGGAUGGGCUCGCGGCCUAUUAGUUAGUUGGUGAGGUAACGGCUCACCAAGGCGAUGACGGGUAGCCGGUCUGAGAGGAUGUCCGGCCACACUGGAACUGAGACACGGUCCAGACACCUACGGGUGGCAGCAGUCGAGAAUCAUUCACAAUGGGGGAAACCCUGAUGGUGCGACGCCGCGUGGGGGAAUGAAGGUCUUCGGAUUGUAAACCCCUGUCAUGUGGGAGCAAAUUAAAAAGAUAGUACCACAAGAGGAAGAGACGGCUAACUCUGUGCCAGCAGCCGCGGUAAUACAGAGGUCUCAAGCGUUGUUCGGAAUCACUGGGCGUAAAGCGUGCGUAGGCUGUUUCGUAAGUCGUGUGUGAAAGGCGCGGGCUCAACCCGCGGACGGCACAUGAUACUGCGAGACUAGAGUAAUGGAGGGGGAACCGGAAUUCUCGGUGUAGCAGUGAAAUGCGUAGAUAUCGAGAGGAACACUCGUGGCGAAGGCGGGUUCCUGGACAUUAACUGACGCUGAGGCACGAAGGCCAGGGGAGCGAAAGGGAUUAGAUACCCCUGUAGUCCUGGCAGUAAACGGUGCACGCUUGGUGUGCGGGGAAUCGACCCCCUGCGUGCCGGAGCUAACGCGUUAAGCGUGCCGCCUGGGGAGUACGGUCGCAAGAUUAAAACUCAAAGAAAUUGACGGGGACCCGCACAAGCGGUGGAGUAUGUGGCUUAAUUCGAUGCAACGCGAAGAACCUUACCUGGGCUUGACAUGUAAUGAACAACAUGUGAAAGCAUGCGACUCUUCGGAGGCGUUACACAGGUGCUGCAUGGCCGUCGUCAGCUCGUGUCGUGAGAUGUUGGGUUAAGUCCCGCAACGAGCGCAACCC
rnacentral:rRNA from 1 species